rnacentral:rRNA from 1 species
UACAGAGGGGGCAAGCGUUAUUCGGAAUUAUUGGGCGUAAAGGGCGCGUAGGCGGCCAUUCAAGUGACGGGUGAAAGCCCUCGGCUUAACCGAGGAACUGCCUGUCAGACUGGAUGGCUUGAGACCGGGAGAGGUGAGUGGAAUUCCAGGUGUAGCGGUGAAAUGCGUAGAUAUCUGGAGGAACACCGGUGGCGAAGGCGCACAUCUGGCCCGAUACUGACGCUGAGGCGCGAAAGCCAGGGGAGCAAACGGG